ACAACCCAUCGACACUAGCGGACUGAAGGUGCUGCGGCCUGUUAUCCUUCCACUGCAGAGAGGAGGAGGUGAUCGCUGCUCUGUGAAACCAGCCUGACGCGGUGCCCUCCGAUCUAAGGGCCGAGAGGCCUCCGCCUUCACAGAGACUCCACGGCCGGACUCACCACUUGGAAUGGGCAGACCAGUAUAUUGCACCCCAAGCCCAGCCUUUAAAGUAAGGCCAAAUGUUCCACCAUCUUAAUGCUCCCACUUGGGUUACAGGCUCGCGCUACCGAACCCAGCGAACAAAGUUUCUACCUGCGGACUUAUUAAGAAGAAAUUUUCCUCAUCUCUUUCCGAUGUGGGAAAUUGUGCGAGCCUUUCAUGGGGAAAAAUGGAGUAGAGAACUCUGAUGUACUUGUGCUUUUGCCUGGUGUUUGACAGAUAUGAGAUCUGUGUUGUAUCAUUGUUCAUCAAAAACUUAGGAAUGUAGAUGAAGCCUUGAUUUUUAUUUUUGUAAUGGAAAUUGUAUCAUUUCUGUUCAAGAGGGGCUUAUACGUGAAGGAGAGACGUAGCCUGGAAGCUUUACUUCACUGAACGGAAUGGCAGAGAUGGGCAGUUUACAUAAAGGCAAUUGCGAUGGUGCAAGAGUAUCAACUAUCAAGCAGUGCUGCAGAUGCUUCAGACCCUUCAAUUUGAGGUGUUUCCAAACAGUACCUUAACUUGGGCAGGUGCUGUUAUCCAUGGUAUGAGCUUUGAUUUUUUGGAUUUGAAGAACAUGAUUGAGAAAUUGCUUUGCAAGUUUUUGUUGAGUUAUCAAGUUUCUAAGUUGUAUAUUGCCAUUCUAAUUUCCAAUUACUUGAAGUCUUGAACUAAGUAAUUCUAAUGGAACAUGUUAACACUUCUAUUGUUCUGAUAUAUUAGGACAUGGCAGGAUACCAGACUUUCAUUCGUCUUGAUUGCUCAGUUCGAAUCUUUCUCUGUUUUAUAUGCUUAGCUUGUUGAUGCUUCGGCUAUCUUUCUAUUUGCUAUUGUCCACUGGUUGAAUGUUAAUAGUUUGGGUGUCAAAUGAAAUAUCUAAAUUCUAAAGCUAUGCAGCCUUUAUAGAUUGGUGAAUGUUUUAGAUAUAUGCUGCCUUUAUCUUGACUGGUGAAUUUCUUGCUGCCACUUUGCACUUGAACGAGAUGGAAAGAGAAGAGAAUUUGCUUGCGGCUUUGAGGCUUUUGCAUACUUUGACAAGGAUGGAAGUAGGUAUAUAACCAUUGAUGAGCUUCAACAGGCGUGCAAAGACUUUGGUUCGGUUGACGCUUCUUUGGAGGAAACAAUCAAAGAAAUUGAUAAGACCAUGUGUUGGACUUGGCCUUUCACUGGCAUUCGCCCACAAUCCCCCCUCCCAGCACCAGCCAGCCUUAAAUGCUAUUGCUGAGACUUGAAUUCGGUCGUUAGGAUCAAGGGCUUACCACUACGCCAAAAGUUAUACCUAGUAACGAAGGCACAACUUUAUUCCUUUUACCGUGACACGUUUUCCAGAGCUAGGGUGCUGGAUUUGGCCCUUACCGACCUCCGCCCAACAUUCAUCAUGUCAUUUGUUACUGAUGCAUGUCUGCAGUUUUCUAGCCAUUCAUCACUGUCUGAUUUAUCACUACGACACCGUGUGGCAUGAGAUUGAUUAUGAUUGCUUUGAGUUGAAUGUGAACUUGGAUUUUGAUUGUAUAGGAUGGGCGAAUUGACUAUGGAGAAUUUGCAACAAUGAUGAGGAAGGGAAACAUAGGAAUUGGGAUAAGAGGCAAUUAUGUAUAUAUGUCCAUUCUUCGACAUUCAUUUAUGUGUGUAAUUUGUUUGAUCUUUUUGUUGCUAUAUCUGAAAUUAAAAUUACCAUUGACAAAGCUUAAUAAAUCUGGUUGUUCUUAUU